CCUACGGGAGGCAGCAGUGGGGAAUAUUGGGCAAUGGGCGCAAGCCUGACCCAGCAACGCCGCGUGAAGGAAGAAGGCUUUCGGGUUGUAAACUUCUUUUCUGAGGGACGAAGAAAGUGACGGUACCUCAGUAAUAAGCCACGGCUAACUACGUGCCAGCAGCCGCGGUAAUACGUAGGUGGCAAGCGUUAUCCGGAUUUAUUGGGUGUAAAGGGAGCGUAGGCCGCAUGUCAAGCGGGCUGUGAAAGGUCCGGGCUCAACCCGGGCCUUGCAGCGCGAACUGGCGUGCUUGAGUCCGCGGAAAGCAGGCGGAAUUCGUGGGGUAGCGGUGAAAUGCUUAGAUAUGACGAAGAACCCCGAUGGCGAAGGCAGCUUGCUGCAGCGGAACUGACGCUGAUGCUCGAAAGCGCGGGUAUCGAACAGGAUUAGAUACCCCAGUAGUC
rnacentral:rRNA from 1 species